rnacentral:ncRNA from 1 species
CUCGCGUCGCCCUUGAAAAUCCGAGUGAGGGAGUAUGAUUUUCGUGCCGCACCGUACCCACAUCCGCAGCAGUCUCCAAGGUGAACAGCCUCUAGAGUCUAGUCGAUGGACCAAUGUAGGUAAGGGAAGUCGGCAAAACGGAUCCGCAACCUUGGGAUAAGGAUUGGCUCUGAGGACUGAGUCGGUCGGGCUGGGGACCUGAAGCAGGAACGGCACUGUACCGAGACUGGGCGGGGCUCGCCGUUCACGCGGCGCGGCCAAGCCCGAACCAGCGUCGGGAUUUUUCUGUGGAAAGCCUCAGCUGCGCGGCGUCUGAGGGCUUCGUGCCCAAAGUGCUAUGCUUCGGCCGGCAAAAAACAGUCAACUCAGAACUGGCACGGACCGGGGGAAUCCGACUGUCUAAUUAAAACAAUGCAUUGCGAUGGCCGGUGUGGGCGCAAUGUGAUUUCUGCCCAGUGCUCUGAAUGUCAACGUGAAGAGAUUCAUCAAAGCGCGGGUAAACGGCGAGAGUAACUAUGACUCUCUUGUCAUAGUUACUCCCGCCAUCAAAGGUGCCAUCAAAGGACAGGAAGGUGAAGGUGGACACCUCGGAAAGUUUUACAAUGGGAUGCGUCGCGUUACCAACGAGCGACACCGCCUCGGUGUGGAAAUACCUGGGCCUCCAGU